rnacentral:rRNA from 1 species
UACAGAGGGUGCGAGCGUUGUCCGGAAUCACUGGGCGUAAAGGGCGCGUAGGUGGCGCUCCAAGUCCGUGGUGAAAGCUCGAUGCUCAACAUCGAGUCGGCCACGGAGACUGGAGGGCUCGAGCACUGUAGGGGCCAAUGGAAUUCCGGGUGUAGCGGUGGAAUGCGUAGAGAUCUGGAAGAACAUCGGUGGCGAAGGCGGUUGGCUGGGCAGGUGCUGACACUGAGGCGCGACAGCGUGGGGAGCAAACAGG